UUUUUUUCUAGUUACUUAGAUUUGUGGAGCUCUAAUUUGAUUGUGGGCAUCCUUUAUAAGGCUUGUUCCACCUUCUCCUGUGGAGCUAUACAAGCUGUGACUCCUGUUUUAAGAACUAUGUUCUCUUCUCUGUUGCAGACCUAUGUUAUAUCUGCCUUAGUGCAUGGGCUGCUGGUCAAUGCUAAUAGCUGGCUCUCAGGGAAAAAAGAAAAACCAUCUGUGGCAUCUGCCAAUUUCUGUGGUGUAAAUACUCUGAGCUCUGCCAAUUUCAAGCUAUCCAUUUGACAUUGCUGGACCCAAAGUUGGCAAGUGAUGUGCACAAUUGCCUUUUGCAAGAAACUAAAGGACAUACUUGUGGAAGAAGAAAAUUACAAAAUGAAAGAACUGGGAUGCAAGAAGUAAUGGUGAGCAUGGAAUCUGGCAAAGAUUCAAGUAAAACAAAGCAAGGACU
rnacentral:antisense_RNA from 1 species